rnacentral:misc_RNA from 1 species
AAAGUCGUAACAAGGUUUCCGUAGGUGAACCUGCGGAAGGAUCAUUAACACGUAUCCAAACGUUAAAACAACCCUGUGAACCUUCAGCGUGUUCUUGCGGGACGCCAAAACAGCAAUCUCAUGUAACUUAGUGGCUAAAGAAUUACAGAUAUUAACUAUGAGACUUCUGUGAGUACGUGGACGCUGCAAUUGAGCGCUAGAUAAAGCACCCUGGUACCCCCAAGCAAUCAUUGUCUGAAAGUGUCAGUGCUUGUGUAAGGGUGGCGCAGUAAACGAUCGCUGUAGGUCCAUACGACCGGCGACCGGGGUGGCGGCGAAAGCCCCUACGUCACCACUAGUACCCUCCGGGACUUGGCGAAAGCUGACUCCGUCAUAAAUCGAACAACUGUUAACAAUGGAUAUCUUGGUUCUC